rnacentral:rRNA from 1 species
GACGAACGCUGGCGGCGUGCUUAACACAUGCAAGUCGAACGAAGAGCGAUGGAAGCUUGCUUCUAUCAAUCUUCGUGGCGCACGUGUGAGUAACGCGUAAUCAACCUGCCCUUCAGAGGGGGACAACAGUUGGAAACGACUGCUAAUACCGCAUACGAUCUAAUCUCGUCAUCGAGGAUAGAUGAAAGGUGGCCUCUACAUGUAAGCUAUCACUGAAGGAGGGGAAUGUGUCUGAUUAGCUAGUUGGGGGGGUAACGGGCUACCAAGGCGAUGCUCGGUAGCCGGUCUGGGAGGAGGGACGGCCACAUUGGGACUGGGACACGGCCCAGACUCCUACGGGGAGCAGCAGUGGGGAAUCUUCCGCAAUGGACGGAAGUCUGACGGGGCAACGCCGCGUGGAGGAUGACGGCCUUCGGGUUGUAAAGCUCUGUUAAUCGGGACGAAAGGCCUUCUUGCGAAUAGUGAGAAGGAUUGACGGUACCGGAAUAGAAAGCCACGGCUAACUACGUG